AGUAUAUUUACAAAGUUUCACAACGUCACCACAAUCUAAUUUUAGAACAUUUUCAUCACCCCAGAAAGAAACCGCAAAUCCAUUAGCAAUCUCUAUUUCUCUUUGUCUUCUGCCAGCCCAGCUCAAUCAUUAAUCUACUUUUUGUUUCCAUAGGUUUGUCUUUAUCACUGUUUGUAGUGGGGACAGGUACAGAUGGGGAGAAAAGUGAGCUCUCAUCUGGAAAUGAGCUGCUACUUCUGGUCUCUGCUUGUCUUCUGUCUCCAAAAUUUGAAGUUAAAAUUUGUUACUUUGAAAUUUUCUUCCAAAAAUUCCCAUCUGAUCCCCAAAAGAUAUUGAGAUAUGAUAUCUAUAAACAUAGAUACCUAAAUUUUUAUCUUAUUUCAUAUCUUUAAUCCUAUUUCUUGUGAAUGAGUAACCCUAGUACACAUAUACACAUACUAGUACAUGCCUACCUUGACUGAGAUAUUUCAAAGCCUUGUCUGAACUUAAAAUAAGGGCACCAUGCCUCAAACACUUUCCCCUAAUUCUCUAAUUCCUAGGUUUUUCAGAUCAGGCUGCUAUACCUGUAUCUUGCUGAUGGUAGAUAAGAUAGCCAUAAUAUUAGGUAACAGUGAAUGUCAGGAGACUAGAUUGAACCAUGGGGAAUGGCUUAGUGAAAACACCCCUCUCUACCAUGUGCACAACUAGAAUUGAACAUGGGGAGAGGAAGAAGGGUGGGAGGUCAGUAUGGGAAGUCUCUUUCGUGGGUACUUUUUCCAACCAGAGCAUCUUGGCCACCCUAGCUUCCCCUCCCCCCUCAGGAGUGAUCCUUUGUGAUGUCUGAGCAGCCCAUAGCCACCAUUGGCUGUGGGGAGUGCCCUGAUGACAAAACAAAGCUAAAGAGGUGUGACUCCUCAUUGCCCUGGGGAGGGGUAUAUAUACAGAGGACAGGACCCCUGGGGUAAAAAAUUGAGAGCUUAAACAUGGCAAAGGUGACCAAGAAAUCAUGGGAGCGAAAAUCCACUAGCACCAGGCGGUGGAAGAAGAAGAAGACCCGCUCUCAACCUAAAUCAAGACGUAAUAACAAGGUUCUGAAGAUAUACAAGAAGAUAAAAAGACCAUUUCACAUGACCUCAAG